AAAAGAAACUAACAAGGAUUCCCCUAGUAACGGCGAGUGAAGAGGGAAGAGCUCAAAUUUUAAAUCUGCCUUGUUUCAAGGUCGAGUUGUAAUUUGAAGAAGCGUUUUCUUGGGCUCGCGGCCGGUAGAAGUUCUUUGGAACAGGACAUCAUAGAGGGUGACAAUCCCGUCUGCGACCGGUCGUGAGUUCAUCUACGAUACGCUUUCAAAGAGUCGAGUUGUUUGGGAUUGCAGCUCCAAAUGGGUGGUAAACAUCACCUAAGGCUAAAUAUUGGCGAGAGACCGAUAGCGAACAAGUACCGUGAGGGAAAGAUGAAAAGAACUUUGAAAAGAGAGUUAAACAGUACGUGAAAUUGUUGAAAGGGAAACGAUUGAAGUCAGUCGUGCUGGCGCGAAAUCAACCCUCUCGUCGAGAGGUCACAUGGCGUGGCGAGCCUCAAAGCCGUCACGGAGCGUGAACUCUUGNCGAGNNGGAGCACUUUCGUGUCCGCUGGUUAACAUCAAUUUCGAACGUCAUAAAAAGGCUGGAGGGAUGUGGCUCCUUCGGGAGUGUUAUUACCUUUACCGGAAUGUGGUGGUCGGGAUUGAGGAUUGCAACNAAUACCUUUAGGGCUGUUCCACCUGGCCUCUCUUUGGUAUCCUGGUGAAUACNGCUUGCUGACUUUGUUAGGAUUCGCCUUU
rnacentral:rRNA from 1 species